GACAGAGGGUGCAAACGUUGUUCGGAAUUACUGGGCGUAAAGCGCGUGUAGGCGGCUAAGUAAGUCGGGCGUGAAAUCCCGCGGCUCAACCGUGGAAGUGCACUCGAAACUGCGUAGCUAGAGUCCUGGAGAGGAAGGUGGAAUGCUUGGUGUAGAGGUGAAAUUCGUAGAUAUCAAGCGGAACACCGGUGGCGAAGGCGGCCUUCUGGACAGUGACUGACGCUGAGACGCGAAAGCGUGGGGAGCAAACAGG
rnacentral:rRNA from 1 species